rnacentral:rRNA from 1 species
AGGACGAACGCUGGCGGCGUGCCUAAUACAUGCAAGUCGAACGGUCUUUCUAUGGAAGCUUGCUUCCACUGAGAAGAUAGUGGCGAACGGGUGAGUAACACGUGGGUAACCUGCCCAUAAGAGGGGGAUAACAUCCGGAAACGGGUGCUAAUACCGCAUAGUUUUCUUGAUCGCAUGAUCGGGAAAGGAAAGACGGCCUUUGUGCUGUCGCUUAUGGAUGGACCCGCGGCGUAUUAGUUAGUUGGUGAGGUAAUGGCUCACCAAGACGAUGAUACGUAGCCGACCUGAGAGGGUGAUCGGCCACAUUGGGACUGAGACACGGCCCAAACUCCUACGGGAGGCAGCAGUAGGGAAUCUUCCGCAAUGGACGAAAGUCUGACGGAGCAACGCCGCGUGAGUGAAGAAGGUUUUUCCGGAUCGUAAAACUCUGUUGUCAGAGAAGAACAAGUUGGAGAGUAACUGCUCCAGCCUUGACGGUAUCUGACCAGAAAGCCACGGCUAACUACGUGCCAGCCGCAGC